GACAGAGGUGCCGAGCGUUAGGCGGAAUCACUGGGCUUAAAGCGUGUGUAGGCGGAUCUGUAAGUACCUUGUGAAAUCCCACGGCUCAACCGUGGAACUGCUUGGUAUACUGCGGGUCUUGAGCCACCUAGGGGCAAGUGGAACAAACGGUGGAGCGGUGAAAUGCGUAGAUAUCGUUUGGAACGCCAAUGGUGAAAACAACUUGCCGGGGGUGUGCUGACGCUGAGACACGAAAGCCAGGGGAGCAAACAGG
rnacentral:rRNA from 1 species